GAAAUGUUGCCUAGUGGAUAAGGGUAUUGACUGAUAAUUUAAAGGUUGUUGGUUCAAUCCCCUCAUUUUUCU